ACAGCAGCAGCCACGGUAAUACGUAGGUCCCGAGCGUUGUCCGGAUUUAUUGGGCGUAAAGCGAGCGCAGGCGGUUAGAUAAGUCCGAAGUUAAAGGCUGUGGCUUAACCAUAGUACGCUUUGGAAACUGCUUAACUUGAGUGCAAGAGGGGAGAGUGGAAUUCCAUGUGUAGCGGUGAAAUGCGUAGAUAUAUGGAGGAACACCGGUGGCGAAAGCGGCUCUCUGGCUUGUAACUGACGCUGAGGCUCGAAAGCGUGGGGAGCAAACAGGAUUAGAUACCCCAGUAGUCCCUGUCUCUUAUACA
rnacentral:rRNA from 1 species